UACAGAGGGUGCGAGCGUUAAUCGGAAUUACUGGGCAUAAAGCGUGCGUAGACGGUCAAGUAAGUCGGGUGUGAAAGCCCCGGGCUCAACCUGGGAAUUGCAUUCGAGACUGCGUGGCUAGGGUGCGGAAGAGGGAAGCGGAAUUUCCGGUGUAGCGGUGAAAUGCGUAGAUAUCGGAAGGAACACCAGUGGCGAAAGCGGCUUCCUGGUCCAGCACCGACGUUCAGGCACAAAAGCGUGGGGAGCAAACAGG
rnacentral:rRNA from 1 species